AGUGUCUAUGGCUCCCACCAGUGAUGCUGAGAACUCCAGGUUAAAGCCAUUCCCCCUUAUCCUUUUCUUCAGGCAGCGCUGGGCACGUCCAACUGCUGGCUUUUCUCCUGCCGCUACCUGUUGCUCUGAAUGGAUUCGGUGAAAGGAAGCUUUGGGAUGGCAACACUGAAAUUCUAAGCCCUGCAAGAAGAGGCGACGUCACAGACAUUUGUGAGCAGCUGUGUUCAAGGGUGAAGCACAGGAAGAGUAACGUUUCAUCCAACAUCACUGAUGAACACCAUCAGACCUCACUGAGAGCUGCAGCCACUGCCGCCGAACCACACUGAUGUGUUAGCAAGGUCAAAUAUCCCACUGGUUUGAUGGCUUUGUUGCUCUCUUUUUUCUACUCUUAUAAUAAAAUAUUAAAAAUUA
ensembl:lncRNA